GCACUGUUGAGGAGUCCCAGAAUAGGAUGAAACACCUGUCCAGUGU
rnacentral:hammerhead_ribozyme from 1 species